rnacentral:tRNA from 1 species
GGGGGUUUAGCUCAGCGGCAUAAGCGCCUGCCUUGCAAGCAGGCAGUUGUGAAUUUAAUUCCCG